GGUCCGAUGGUGUAGUUGGUUAUCACUUCUGUCUAACAGCACGCGCGUCUUGCGUAGCCUGUCGCACAGGCGGUCCUCAGUUCGAACCUGGGUCGGAUCA